CAAAUAUUGUUGAAGUGUGAGAAAAAUUAUCGACAUCGAUAUUUUCCGAUAUUAUCGAUACUUAUACGAUAUGUGUAUAGAUAUGUUCCAAAAUAUCCUAAACCCAAAAAAAUGAUAAUAUCUUCAAUAUUUCGUUGAUAUUAUUAAUAUUUUAGCCCUUGAUUGAGAUUUUAAAAGAUUUAAAAGAAGUUAAUUCGGGUAUUGAAUCACGAUUUAAUAAAAAAAUUAUGAGUAUACUCAAUCUAUAAAGUUCAUUCAAAUUUGGACAUAUUAAAUCAUUACUUUAAAAGACUCCAUAAAGGUUUCGAUUUUUAUUUAGGCUUAUUUACUGUAGUGCCCCCCUGAAGUUAUGGUCAAAUAUCACUUUACCAUCUGAAAGUUAAAGUGCCCAAUUUACCCCCUUGAUUGAUGUUUUGCAUCUCAGUUUACACCACAUCGUCAAGUCAGUCAAAAACUCUGUUAAAAAUGUUGACAUGGCACAUAUGGGACUCACAAAUUUGUUGAAUUGGAU
rnacentral:lncRNA from 1 species